rnacentral:rRNA from 1 species
GAGUUUGAUCCUGGCUCAGAUUGAACGCUGGCGGUAUGCCUUACACAUGCAAGUCGAACGGUAGAGGAGCAAUCCUCGAGAGUGGCGAACGGGUGAGUAAUACAUCGGAACGUGCCCAGUCGUGGGGGAUAACGUAGCGAAAGCUACGCUAAUACCGCAUACGACCCGAGGGUGAAAGCGGGGGACUCGCAAGAGCCUCGCGCGAUUGGAGCGGCCGAUGGCAGAUUAGGUAGUUGGUGGGGUAAAGGCCCACCAAGCCUGCGAUCUGUAGCUGGUCUGAGAGGACGACCAGCCACACUGGGACUGGGACACGGCCCAGACUCCUACGGGAGGCAGCAGUGGGGAAUUUUGGACAAUGGGCGAAAGCCUGAUCCAGCCAUACCGCGUGCGGGAAGAAGGCCUUCGGGUUGUAAACCGCUUUUGUCAGGGAAGAAAUGCUUCGGGCUAAUACCCUGGGGCGAUGACGGUACCUGAAGAAUAAGCACCGGCUAACUAC